GGUUGCCAAGCCGCGAGGUGGAGCCAAUCCCAGAAAGCCGAUCGUAGUCCGGAUCGCAGUCUGCAACUCGACUGCGUGACGUCGGAAUCGCUAGUAAUCGCGGAUCAGCAUGCCGCGGUGAAUACGUUCCCGGGUCUUGUACACACCGCCCGUCACACCAUGGGAGUGGGUUUCACCAGAAGAGGCUAGCCUAACCGCAAGGGGGGCGGUCGCCACGGUGAGAUUCAUGACUGGGGUGAAGUCGUAACAAGGUAGCCGUAUCGGAAGGUGCGGCUGGAUCACCUCCUUU
rnacentral:rRNA from 1 species